rnacentral:rRNA from 1 species
CUACGGGCUGCUCCAGUGAGGAAUAUUGCACAAUGGGGGGAACCCUGAUGCAGCAACGCCGCGUGGAGGAUGACGCAUUUCGGUGUGUAAACUCCUUUUAUAUGUCAAGAAAAUGACGGUAGCAUAUGAAUAAGCACCGGCUAACUCCGUGCCAGCAGCCGCGGUAAUACGGAGGGUGCAAGCGUUACUCGGAAUCACUGGGCGUAAAGGACGCGUAGGCGGGUUGGAAAGUCAGGUGUGAAAUCCUACAGCUUAACUGUGAACUGCACUUGAAACUUCUAAUCUAGAGUAUGGGAGGGGGAGAUGGAAUUAGUGGUGUAGGGGUAAAAUCCGUAGGUAUCACUAGGAAUACCUAAAGCGAAGGCGAUCUCCUGGAACAUUACUGACGCUAAGGCGUGAAAGCGUGGGGAGCAAACAGGAUUAGAUACCCCCGUAGUC